rnacentral:misc_RNA from 1 species
UCAAUAAGUCGCUGUUGAGCCUUUGCUUUACCCAUCAUUGCUGGCAUCUCCUUUUUAAGGUGACUAAUAAUGUAAGCAUGUAUCUUGGCAGCUCUAGCUCGUUUCACAAAUUCAUUGAUCCGGCGAUCACAAGCCUUCUUUGGUAUAUCUUUUAGAUCAGACAGAAGGUCGUCCUGUUCUUUCUCAAAAAGUUCUUUCCCAAUUGGACCAACAGCAGCUUCAUUUACUGGUUUAUCAUUGAAUGAGCCAAUAUAAACACGCACAACUUCAGGAGUAUUUACAACUUUCCCAAGUGACCACAUUAGCGCACCAUAAACCCUCAUUAAUUGUUGAGUAUCAACUUGGUCUGCCUUGUUGAGAACCACACGAAUCUUAUCAUCAUGACCACGUAAAGAUGAAAUCACACGCUUAAACUCAUCACUGACAUCAAGUUUAUGAGGAUCAAACAGAAGCAGAAUGAGAUCACACUUUGCAGCAAACCAUGAAGUUACACCAGUAAAAUCAUAAGCCCGUUGUGUUCGUUGUUUUUCCCCUGAUAAAACUCCAGGUGUGUCCACAAAUGUAAUAUGCUCCAGCAAAGGAUGAGGCAUUUGAGAACAUUCAAAUUUUGACAAAAAUGCAGUUCCAAAAGUUGUGAGUCCAUUAAAGGGCAUAUCUGCUUGGACUGCCACAGUGUUGCCCGGUAUACUCCUUUCAUCAGUACCAGACAUAACAACAACAAAUCUGUCAGUUGUUGGCUCGGGUCCAAUAUGAGCUCCAGGAUAACCACUUUUAAGUAAAUGUUUAAUGAAAGUUGUUUUUCCAGUGGAAUAUUGACCCAAUAGCAUAACCAUUGGUUUGGCAUCAAAAUCACUGUUUGUCAACAGCGGAGAUACAAAAUCAUUAAAAUGAUACGUAACUUCUAAUGGCUUCAGCUUCUGAAUGUACAAUCUCUUCAAGCCAUCAAUGAUGGAUGUAACAGCGGAUAGAGGCACCUUUUUUGAUGAUUUUGAAGAAAACCAAUUGACUGACGGUGAUGUUUGCAUUGGAGGACUACCAUUUAUAUCAGGGUCACUUGCUUUUGAAGAGCGCUUUUUCUUUGCGAUCAGGGCAUCCAGACCUUCCAUAGACGGAGGCUUCAUUCAAAUUUUCAAAGUCAGCGUUGCUAUUUAAGAGAUCAUUUGUGAUUUCAUGUCCAGCUUGUGCCAGGGACACUAACUGCAUAGCACUGAUGAACUCAUUGAAACCAAGAUAUCCCUGUCGUUUAGAAUCUGCAAUCGCCCACACCUGCUGAAGAUCCUGUCGGGAUAAAUUAGACAAGCCAAAGAUUUUUAUAGCUUCACUGGCAGUGAUUCGACCAUCCCCAUCUGAGUCAACGAAGUUAAACCACUCAAGGUAGAUCUUCUGGUUCUCCUUUGAGCAAGAGACGAUUGGUCCCAUAGAUAUUUCCAUAAUCGC